UGACUACUGUGUCCAGUACUCUAUG
rnacentral:piRNA from 1 species